GUCACCGAUCGCUGAGAGAUUUCACCUGUGACUACCAAGAGCCAACUAAAAGUAAGUUCACAAUGGAGCGGUCCCAGUGGAGGAACAUGCGCAAGAGAGCCAUAAAAAGGACAAACGACAGAAUUUUAGAGGUACAAAGAAGUCUUUGCACAGGUGUUGUAGAGCACAGUGGGAUGGUAAGUAGUGACUUUGGUGAAGUUGUGGACACUGAGAUGGUGAGUGAGGAUGAGGUCUCUGAAAAUGAUGAGGUCUCCGAAGAUGAUGAUGAGGAGGAUGAUGAGGUUUCUCCUUCAUUAGAUUUGUCCACUGCUCUGUCUGACUGGGCUGUUGAGUAUGGUGUGUCAUUAGUGGCAUUGUCUGCUCUUCUGUGCAUCCUUAGAAUGCAUCACCCCUUUCUUCCAAAGGAUGGGAGAACCCUUUUAAAAACGGCAACCAAGUACACUCUAGAAAGGUUGGCUGGUGGGGUGUUUUUCUAUUUUGGUAUUUUGAACAUGUUUCGCAAAACCUUUGAGCAUUUGUCGUCCAAAUUUCCAGAUAGAAACGUGUUUAUGUUGCAGCUUA